GACACGAGUGGAGUGGAUGCUUUUACACAUGUUUGGUCUCGGGAUGUGAACUGGGUUGUACCACCACCGAAGUUGAUACCGGAGGUGGUUCGGAAAAUCGAAAGAGAAAAAUGCAAAUGCACUUUAGUAGUGCCGGAGUGGACAUCCGCUCCAUUUUGACCAAUGUUAAUUCAGAAUGAAGGGAAUUUUCAGUAUUAUAUAAAAAAUUAUUCUCGGGUAAAAAAUAUUCACUGCAUUUGCAGAGGCAAAGGAGAUAGCGGAAUGUUUGAAAAACGGGGAGUGCUAUUUAACAUGUUAUUCAUACAUAUAGAAUUUUAAUUUGGUGAAUUGUUUUCAGGUUUAGGAUUACAGGACAAACUAUGAAAAUUGUCGCAUGACAACGAUGUUCAACCUGGCAGCUAUCUUGAGGAUCUAUGUCCACAGCUGGGUGUCCUAAUACUUUCCAGUAAAAGCGACAUCACUAACAAGAACUAUUUCAACGCUUUCACAAGAUAGGAGAAAUUCAUAAAGUUACAAGGACAGUGCCUUGCCGACAUAUUCUUUUCACGAGGCGUUAUAUUUAAUUCAUUUAUUGAAUAAUGGUGCUUCUAUUCAUACUGUAAGUGCUGCGGUGUACGCUAUCAAAUGGGCGGAUGACUCUGUAGGUUUACCAGAUCCAACCAAAAACUCGUAUGUAACUUCGAUAUUAGAGGCUGCAAGGAGAAAAGCGCAUCGACCCGUACAGAAAAAGGAGCCCAUCACAGAGAACAGUAUAACCUGUUCGGAAAACUACAGCAACUGGAAAUACUGUAUCCCUAACAACAAAUAUCUAUACAUAAUUUACAAGACACGUGGGCUUGGAUUGUUUGCACGGUUUGUCAGAUUUAAGCUGAAGAUCACAACAAGAAAAGUAUUUGAUUAAACCUAAAGAACAAUGAAGAACAAAGAGGGGGUAAUGGAACUAUGAAAAAGACAACAAAGAACCAAAAUAGAUCAAAUAAGAUGAGGAAAGGGGGUACCGAUUCAACAAGAAAAA